CUAUGAGUUGUUGACAAUUCUGGGAGUCAGAAUCUACGGUUUCCAGAAAACAAUUAAUGAAUAACUGGUGGCCACGUGGGGAACUGAAAUCAAGUCAAGCUAUCUAAGGCACUAGGUGUUACAAGGCAGCUCAGCCUCUUUUCCUAAACAGACCCAGUUCAUGGCUGCAACAGAUCCAUCCUGUGCAGUGAAACAGAUAUGAAAAGCACGAUGACUUAGUUGUCGUUUCAGCGACAGACUGCUAAGCUGACACGUCAUUACCCUGGAAGAAGACGCAUACCAUUCAGAAGGUGAAAUUCUCAGAUUACCCAAGAGAUAUUCCUUCCUGGAAAGGGAAAUAGGACAGAGAUACAUAGCUAUUUUUCAGUCCCUUCAUUUACAUGGAAUUAUUUCAAGCAAGCAUCUGGAAGAUUUGCAGGACAUUAACUUCUUUCCAGCGCCUUGGCUGAUACGGCUCCUGUCCAAGCAUUACCAUGCAGUUUCUGAAGAGUGCACUAUAUUCCGAACAUCCAGCUAUUCCUUCCGAAACAGUGUGAAACAGCUAUUCCUUCACUAA
ensembl:lncRNA